UGGUGUACCCCCACAUCCUUGGGGCCCUCCUUGGCCCCCCAUUUCAGGUGUACCCUUGCCACGGGCACCUUAAAUGGGGUCCCGCCCACCCCUGUCAGGGUCAGGUAGGUGUUGGGCACCACCCGAUCUGGGGCCACCACCUCGGGCCGGGCCAGCGUCACCUCCGCGCCCGUAUCCCAGUAUCCAUUGACCUUCCUCCCAUCCACCUCCAGGGGAACAAGGCACUCUCUCCGGAGGGACAGCCCCGCGCCCACCCUGUAAACUGAGCACCCUGAGUCCAGAGCCUCCAGCCCUCUGGUGGAGCUGGCCUGGGGUACUCUUCCCUCCUGAGCAGGUGGUAAACUGGUGUGACGAAGUGGGACUGUUCUUAAUGUUUCCUCUGAAUAGUGUGGGGGUGCCUCAGUUUCCCCCAGGCAGUUCUUAAGUAUCUAGGGGGUGGAGUAAGGGUGUAUGAUCAUUGCAGAGCCCUAGAGGGCAGGUGUGUGCAGGAGUCUGGACACAGAGAAUGGCCGACACCCUGUUUCCUGGCAACUGAUGGCCUGGGCCCUUCCCCCCCUGCAAGGUGAGAGCUGAAGGGUUGGAGAACAAAGGAAUCAGGUGACCACCUGGCCCGGGAAAGGAACAAAGCCCAGAGGAGGAGGGGCUGGAGGGAGUUCAGUUUGGGGCUGGCUGGGACAUGGAGUGAAGUGCAGACGUGGUUGUCUGGCUCACUGCCCCCCAAAAUGGACCCAGCUGAGGGGUCCCGUUCUCUGCACCUGCAAGCUCUGUUUUAGACCAUGUUCCUGUCGUCUAAUAAACCUUCUGUUUUACUGGCUGGCUGAGAGUCACAUCUGACUGCGAAGUUGGGGUGCAGGACCCUCUGGCUUCCCCAGGAGCCCCGCCUGAGCGGACUCGCGGUGGGAAGCGCACGGAGGGGCAGAGGAUGCUGAAUGCUCCGAGGUCAGACCCAGGAAGGUGGAAGCUGUGUGAGCUGUGUGUCCUGAAGACAGGCUGCUCACAGAAAGGCGACUGCCCCAGAGUCCUGACUGGCUUCAUGGGGAGCAGUUCCAGAGCAUCGCCCAGGGACUCCGUGAC